GCAGCAGUGGGAUUUGACAAUGGCGAAAGCUGAUCCAGCCAUGCGCGUGCAGAUGAGCUUUUCGGGUGUAAACUGCUUUGUACGGACGNAAAAGCUCNUUCUAUAAGNNAGAGGUCAUGACGGUACCGUAGAAUAAGCACCGGCUAANUACGUGCCAGCAGCGCGGUAAAUACGUAGGGUGCGAGCGUUAUUCGGAAUUACUGGGCGUAAAGCGUGCGCAGGCGGUGAUGUAAGACAGAUGUGAAUCCCCCNGGCUCANCCUGGGAACUGCAUUUGUGACUGCAUCG
rnacentral:rRNA from 1 species